rnacentral:rRNA from 1 species
AUGACGAGCCGGGACCUCUCGCCGCCGGACACUGGGAUGUUCAGCUUUAGCUCCCCUUUUCCUCUUUCUUUCCAGCCCCCGUCGAGGUACUCGUACAUUGCAGAGUCCGCGGUGAACACGGCCAUCUCGUUCUCUUCGCCUGUCUCCACUGGGCCCUCUGGCAUGAUGAAUUUCUUUGGUGCUUCUGCUGCAGCGACAAGCGAUGGAACAGAACUCCCGUUGUUGUUCGUACCACCGAUAUUGAAAGAAGGGAAGGAUGCGCUGUCGUUCUUUAGCCCAAAUAGGGGAGCAUUUGUGCUUUCUUUAGAAGCUGAGCCAAAGGAAAAUGACGAGGCUGAAAACCCAGUUCCAGCCAGUCCUGUGAAGGCGUUAUGA